CUGGAACGGAGCCUUUUGUGGAACGCUCCAUAACACCUGAGCUUUGUUGUUUUGUGACUUUAAUGAGGCCAUUUGCAUGGUUCGGACCAAUGAGAUGCGUUUUUUAAAUUUUAGGAUAGAGAGAAAAGAUGAUCAAUAUUUAAUAAAAAGGAAGUUGUCUUCAGUGUUUAAUCGUGCAUAGGCUAAUCCUUACUCAUGUGACUGAGUUGACAGCCUAGUAGUAAUACCGCAUAUAUGGGCUUAAUAACGAUGUUUAACAACGAUCAAGUUUGUUUCUGUUCCAAGUAUGAUCCCUUUCAUUGAGUUGGAUUCAUGAUAACAAGUAACCGUUAGGUCAUACUUACUAUUUCCUUUGUCACAGUUCCUCAUGCACACACACAAAGCGUUUCUGCUGUUACAUCCUGUGAACUCUGCCCCUCUCAUCUCUUUCCCCAGUUAGGAACGAGCCUAUGAACAACAGUGAGACUGACAAACGCAGGCAGCAGCACUGGACAGCCAUGCAGGCGAAGACAGGGCCUUUAAACAACAGUGAGACGGACUACCACAGAAGGCAGCCAUUGCCAGCAAAGGAAUCAUAUUUUAUGCAGUGCUGGUGAAAUGGACAAUCAGACAUGUCAGCUGUUGUUUCAUUGGAUGUCGUGGAAUUUGUCCAUUCUUUUGAAAUAAUGUGGAUUGUCCUGCAUGUCCAGGCCUGCUCUGAAAUUAAAUAGGUAUGAUAUCAGGCUCCUAUUGCACAGCAAUACUGUAGCCUACCCAUACUGUAAAAUAUUUGUUAUAUUUACAGGUCUAUUUUACUUUCGAGCAUGGUUGGCUAUUGAAUGAGUGAUGUUAAGUACACAUAUUUUCCCAGGUUUUUAAGUCCGGCCCCCCCAUUAAAUCAAGUUAAGGAGGAAACCAAUGUCUUUGCAGCCUGAAUGGAGGAUGUUUUAUGUACGAACCGGACGCGGGGGUUAGGAGUGUAUUGCACAAGGCCAGACAAUGUAAACCUUGGCGAACCGUUGGGUUUGGCGGAACCAUUGGGGCUAGUAGACAGCUGUACAAAACACAAGUUACACACACAUUUUAAAACAC